rnacentral:rRNA from 1 species
AUGAUCCGGCGUCGCCCUCCGCUGCCUCAGCACGCAGGCCGUUCACCUUCACCACCCCUGGCCGUUCACCACCACCACCAGCGCCCGUUCAAUGCCGCCCCAACAACCCAGUGCGACUUUGUCUCUCUCAACUUAAAAAGCGGUUCAGCUCAGUGCAUGUCAGACAUUAAAGCAAUAUUCUGUAGUAGCUUCAAAAAAUGCAAAUGGUCAUGUUUCCACAAGACUGACGGAACACUGCCAAUUGAAUUGAGCACUAGCGGAACUGUGAAGGUUCGUUCUAUAAAAUUGCAUCAGUUCGCUAGCAAAAUCAAAUUCAGUUCAUCUGCCCUUUGUUAG